rnacentral:lncRNA from 1 species
GGGCGGGCUGCCCCGCCGGUCGGGAGAGGGGGUGGGGAGGCGGCGAGGAAAAGUAAAGUGACAGCUGGGUCCCGCGCGCAGACUGGGCUCUGACGGGGGUGAGCGAGGGGCGUCCCACGGGGAAGGAACGACAAGGACGGGGAGAAGUGGGGGAAACCGAGGCUGACGGGGUGGCUUGAGGGGAGGGGACGCGAGGACCUUGCCGGGCACGCGCAUUAAAGGGAAACGCCGGCUGGGGGUUAGGGGUUACCCCAAGACGGUGCAGGCAGUGGGACGAGGAGGCCUUUUACCCCCAUCCACCGCAGCCCUUGACUUCACGCUCGCCUCGAAGCUUUCGCAAAGUAGAUACGGGGACUGACCCUGUUGACACACUAACCCAAACUCGCAGACGCGUGGGGCUCGCAUGUACCCAAGACAGGAAAACUUCACGUUGGCCUGGAAACUUCUUCCAGGCUAAGCCUGAGUCUUCACCAGACACUGCAGCACGAAGGCCCUUCUGCCUUUUGGCUCGCCCUGGCCCAGAAUGCGCACCAGCCGGCAAGAGAAAGAGGCCCACUGCAAUAUGCUGUGAAGAAUACAUAAGAAGUCAAACUGUUGACCUCUUUUCCCCAGCCCGUUCCAAAACUACAUCCCUGAGGAGUUGUGCACCUCUACGGAAAGUUCAGAUGAAAGAGCUAAUUCCCCUUGAUCUCUCUUCUUGUUCAGAGUGGAGGAAAAACAUAUACCAUCCCUUCCAUCAAUCCUCAGCAUAACUUUGCCAGGGACACUGGUAACAAGCUACUUUUACCUCAGAAGUUGGAGAGUAUCACUUGACCCACAUUGUGUAUGUGUAAAUAUCUUUAUUCAGUGUAUAUACAAUAUAUUCUUAAUUUGACUCUCAAAGUUUAUAAUUAGCAUUGAAUGAGUAUGAAACAUUGUUUUCCAAAUACUGUCAGCAAGCUAUUGAAUAUGUUGUUCCUGAUUUAUGAAUGAGAUUUUCAUCAGCAGAAACUUAUGACAAAUGACCAAUUACAUUGUCACUGCUAAGUUCCAAGAGCAUUUCUUUCAGUUAUGCUAUUUAGAGUAUAAACAUCAUACUGAAUUAUUAUUAAACUCCACUCAAAAUUUUUAAUUAAGCCAUCCACAUCAUCUAAGUCUUUUCCCUUCCCCUUCUGUGAACCUUCUUUUUUGAGACAGGGUCUCAGU